UCAACCCGAUGCGACCCCUAUUCCCUCAUUGUUUUCCCUGCUCCCUUCUCUAACGCAGUUUUCUCUCUUCAAUUCGACGAUUCCCUCACCUAUCAGCUCUUUCCGCCUUCCGGGCACAGCUCCAUCUCCGGCGUUGCGUUUGACGCCGCCGCCGCCGCCGCCGCCAACAAUCAAUCUACCAAUUAGGUUUUCGUUCUCUGUAUGAUCUCGAUUGCCUUGCCUCUUAUCAGAUUUGGACCGCCGUGUCUCCCUUCCUUCCCUCCCUCUGAUUCCAUUUCUUAAACUACAAUCUGAGAAUCCGCCUCCGUUUCUCGCCCUUCUCUGCUGAUUCCGUUCAUAUUCUUUCGUUUCCCAGUCCAAAUUUCAAUUCUCUUAUUUUUUGUUUGGUGUUUUUUGUUUCAGUUGUGCGUCAAUUCACGCCUUUUGCGCUGGGCCUUGGCGGUUCUCUUUACCUUUUUUUUAUCCUCUAAACCAGCACAGGCUCUUUUCUCAAUUUUUUUAUAUUCUCUUUCGUUGAGUGCUUUUCCAGUUUUGGACAGAUGCUCUCUCUCGUUCGUUUGUAGAUAAAAGAUCAUUUCACUCUUUUACCCCGGAGCCCCCAUCUUUGUCCUGGCCUUCCGUUUUGCCAGUUACUUUCUACCCUCUCAGGUUUAAACAAUCUGUUUGAGGCCGACGUGGCGUUUGGUGGGGAAAUAAUGAGUUUCCAGUCCAGUAGGAUGCUGCCGCCUGGCGAAUCUCGGAAGCGGAAAGAGAGAGAGCCACAUCCAGGGUUUUAUUCCGUGAAGCCAUCAAUUCCAUCGUCUCGGCCACUUCAUCAACUCCACCGCAAGCCUGAGCAGCAGCAGCAGCCGCCGCCGUCUUCUAACGU
rnacentral:lncRNA from 1 species